AGAACGAACGCUGGCGGCAGGCCUAACACAUGCAAGUCGAACGCUCGUAGCAAUACGAGAGUGGCAGACGGGUGAGUAACACGUGGGAACCUUCCCUAUGGUUCGGAAUAGCUCAGGGAAACUUGGGGUAAAUACCGGAUAAGCCCUUCGGGGGAAAGAUUUAUCGCCAUUGGAUGGGCCCGCGUCGGAUUAGCUAGUUGGUGAGGUAACGGCUCACCAAGGCAACGAUCCGUAGCUGGUCUGAGAGGAUGAUCAGCCACACUGGGACUGAGACACGGCCCAGACUCCUACGGGAGGCAGCAGUGGGGAAUAUUGGACAAUGGGCGCAAGCCUGAUCCAGCCAUGCCGCGUGAGUGACGAAGGUCUUCGGAUUGUAAAACUCUUUUGGCGGGACGAUAAUGACGGUACCCGCAGAAUAAGCCCGGCUAACUUCGUGCCAGCAGCCGC
rnacentral:rRNA from 1 species